CAAGCAGCCUGGCACAAAUCUUUCACUGUUUUCUGUUAACAGGGCACUGCGUUGCAAAACCUGAGGUGAUCUUCAAGCUGGAGCAAGGUGCUGGGCCGUGGACAGUAGGCGAAGCCCCGCACCAGUGCCUCCCAGGUCAGUCAGUGCAUGCUGCGCAGGGUGCCACGUUGAGCUGUUUUCAUCUGUGUUUCCUCAGGUCCCAAUCCUAAGGAAGCGGGGCUUGUGUGUCAGCCCCUUCCUUUGUACAGUCUCCAAGGAGUACUCUCUCAUGUACACCCAUGUUUAUGUUCUCAUAAUGUAUACUUCAUUCAAUUUUCCCAAACCCCCACCCCCCAUAUGGAUCUUCUUGACAUUUUGAUUGGUUAGGUACUUUUUGUAAAUUCUCACUUUUUCUUUUUUCCUCCAUCUUCAUAGCCUCUUUUUCAAGCAUUCAUUUAUGUGCUGAAUUUUUCAGUACUUGUUGUUGAUCUCUCAUAAACACCAUCCUUUUUAUAAUUGUGGGAACAACAGUAGUAAAUUAAACAAAUGAAUCUCUCAAUAGAGCUUACAUUUUGUUGAGACUGAAAUUAAAUACAUUUAUAUUUGGUAUUAAGAACACAAAUAAUAUUUUACCUGGAUAAGAAAAAGAAAAAAAAAUAGGAAAGGUCUAAAAAGAAGGCAGCUUCAAGGGGGUUAUUAUUUAUUUACUUGAGCUUUUUUGAGAUGACUAUUUUCUAAGGUGUUAUUUUAGGAAAGGUCUAAGGAGAAGACAGUUUUAAGGAGAUAAUUAUUUGUUUGCUUUAGUUUAAUUUUGAGAUAACUAUUUUCUAAAUGUGAUACAUGCUACAAUAGAUGGAUAUAAAAUCUAGACUUGAGAAUGGUCAUUGUAUUGAAGAAACAAAUUUGGAAAUCAGCAGCUUAAAACAAAUAUUUAAAUAAUGGUCAUUACAAGGACUUAGAGAAUUGAUAUGGAACUGCAAAGAGAGACCAAGAAUCAAGCCUCAGGUGGCAUCAGAACCCACGUGACUGAGGAGAGCUGGCACAAGAGCAUGCAAAGGGCUGGCCCUUGGCUCAAGUUGACAACUAGAGGCCAGGUGGCUAAAGGCUCAGAUUUUGUGUGGGAGUUUUAUUUCUAGUUAGCCAUUUGCCUUUCUCUUUGUGGAUAUAAUCCUAGAAUAAUGAACACAAUUAAUUUGUAUAGGACAUUCCAUUUUCUAUCAAUUAGAGGCAGUUGAACCUUUAAGCACAAAAGAAGUCUGCCAAAGCAGUGAGUUACCAAGCUGGGUGCAUGUGCCUGAAACUAAGGGGGAAGUUCCAGGGCUACUGAUCUGAAGUACCAGAAAGACAUACAUUUCAAAGAUGAAGGGCACAGCGUGGAUUGUAGAACCAAGUCGUUUAGUUCCAUCAGGAAACAUACUGCAGAUUUCUGUACCCUUUAUGGUUAAUUCAGGUAAAAUUAGGUCUUUGGAGGAAGCAAUCUUCUAGAGUAGGGAAGAAGGCAAUUUGUGCUUGUACAGCCCCCUAGAUGUCUAUCCCCUUUCCCCUGGAGGAAUAAAGACUAAACAAACACAGAUACCAAUCCUUUUGUGGUCAGAUGGCAGACAAGUGAACUGUGCAUGCAUCCCAACAGCAGGUAAUCCUGGAAUUCUUCCAUUCCAUAUCUGAAAAAGCAGUGAAGUAGAGGAGAUCACCUCUGUUGUCAUCAUAAGAAAAAACUAAAGCAAACAAAUAGACAAAAGAAAUGGUAGAUGAAAAGAACUCUGUUAAAACUCACAGCUAAACAGUAGGUUAAUGUUUUAACUAAGUGUAUCUGCAUCUUUUAAAGAAUAGAACAACUUAGAGCAACAAAGGCAAACAUCAUAUGUUAUUAUUUAUUAAGUUACUUUUUUUUGCCAUUCCUUCAGUAAGGACAAAGUCCCACAAUUCAAUAUAAUUAUUUUGCAAUCUUGUGUCAUCAGGAUAAGGAGCUUCUUUACCUUUGUUUUAGAAUUCUGUAAGAAAGUUUCACGUGUUGUUAAUGAAUAUGGUGAUUUGUAUAUAAUUUUAGAUGAACAGAAAGUGAAUGGUCUGAAUGAGACAAGCCAGGAAAAGCAAGAGAGACAUUUCUGGCAAAUUGGACUCCCCAACAGCAGCACCUCAACUGAGGAGAAGUUCACAUUAGGAACAAGGUUUAAUUUGAGCUCAAAGCAGGUUUCAAGUCUAGCUCCAAAGAGUGGGCCAGAGGGGCUUGAUGUGUGGUAGAAGGAGCUUCUCCCUAGUGAGCCUGAGGAGGUGCAGGCUGGAGAGGAGCCUAGUGGUCUUAACAUUCCUUAAAGAAACCUAUUAUCAAAACCCAAAUAUGAAUCACCACUCCCCCCACACCUGUCUUCUGUUAGGUGGGUGUAGAGGAGCCCUGGAAUGUACAUCAACAGUCAUCACAGAGGAAAGAGGGCCAAGACUAACUACAGAGGCUGGACAGAGGAGGACCCAGGAGGGUUUCCCUGAGGAUGGCCCACAGGAAGCAAGUGUGAGGGCUGAGGGAGGAAGAAGGUGGUGCCCUGGGAAGUGGAGGUGGGAUCGAAGAGUCUGAGGAGAUAUCACUGAACACCUUUUGCUUCAUUGUGAUCCACAUUUCUUUGUUUCCUUUUUGAGCACAGGGAGGGCAAAAGGUUCUCCUGACAUCUGGUUUCAGCUGGUACCUGCUCUCCCUCCAAAGAGAACCUGAGGGCUGUCUCAGCUCACGGAGAAUCCCUGUCCUCUCUGCCACUUUCUAGAAGCCACAGACUUGUUAGAUGGUCUGUGUCUACUUAGGAAAAAUUAAUAAACUGGUAAACUUCUGCUCAACCAGUUCAGUGGAUAAAAAGACAAGUUACAGCUGGGCGUGGUGAUGCUUGCCUGUAAUCCCAGUGGCUCUGAAAACUGAGACAGGAGGAUCAUGAGUUCAAAGCCAGCCUCAGCAAGUUAGUGAGACACUAAGAAAUUUAUUGAGACCCUGUUUCAAAAUAAAAUACUAAAAAAGGAGGCUUGGAAUAUGGCUAGUGGUUAAGUGCCCCUGGGUUCCAUCCCCAAUACCAAAAAUAAAUAAAUAAAUAAAUAAAUAUAUAAAAUAAAUAAAAAUAAAAAGACAAGUUAGAGAAUGAGAGAAAAUGCAAGCAAGUGGCCAUGCCUGUCUUCCCAGCUACUCAGGAGGCUAAGACAGGAGGAUCACCUCAGCCUCAGCUCUUAGUGAGACUCCCCGUCUCAAAAAAAUAAUAAUAAUAAAUAUAAAGGACUGGGAUGUAGAUCAGUGAUAAAGUGCCCCAGGUUUAAUCCACAGUAUCUCCACAUUAAAAAGAAAGAAAAAGAAAAUGCAAACCACACUUUGAGCAAAGGACUACUACCUUGAGUGUUUAAGGUAUUCUUAAAACUCUACAAUGAUGAAAACAGACAGUCCUUUCAGAGAAUGGCAAAAGAAUUGAGAAGACUUGAUUAAAGAGAAUAUAAUAUAAAGGGAGGUCAUUCAACAUCCUGGGGAUUCCUGAACUAAGAUGAGUGAGCAAAUGGUCAAGCCAAGAGACUAGUGCAUCCAAGGCCCAGGACAACACUUAGCAAAGAAAAAUAAAUUGUCAACACACAGGAGUGUCGCGACCCCUUGCCCGCAAGGAAGACGCAACUCGGGAAUCUUCUUUCAACAGUUUAUUCAGGCCCUGGAUAUUUCUUCUUCUCUCUCCCGGAUGCCCCUCCCAGCCUUAAUAAAGCAUCCCAAGCCCCAAUGCAAAGCUGCCGCGUGGAGCUUUCUCACAGGGUGGUGUACAGGGUGGUGAAAAAUCAUGUGCCAACUCUCCCAGAUAAGGAGUUGUUUGUCACAGACCACAGCGGAGCCAGCGUCAUCUUGUAAUGGCGACCAUAAUCUGCAGAAACGGCAGAAGCAGCUCACCACACAGGAGUUUGGAUGAUUCCUCAGAAAUUCACACUAAAAAAUACAAAAGCUUACACACUGCCUGAGUCUAGUCAAGCAACACCGGUGAGAUGAUCAGAUGAUACAGCGGAGGGCAGCAUCAAGGCUGUCAGCGGUUAAGGAUGUGGCAAGGCUGGUGAGGGGCAAAGGUGACAACAAGAGGAAGACAGGAGUGGCCCUCAGCACUGGAGGCCUUCUGCAUCCUGACUGCAGCUGUGAGCACCUGAUGAGGCCACAACACAGGGUUUCAAGAGGUCAACAGGGAAGGCUGGGUAAAGGGCACAGAGGUCUCUCAUCGCCAUUUCUAACUUGGUGUGUAACUGAAAUUACCUCAAUAUAAAACAUUUGAUUCUUUUGAAGAGCUCAGGCUUCAGGACAAAGCUAGAUGACUAUGCAAGUCACUUCCCUGCUCAUGGGGUGAAAAGGAUUGAAUUAGUAAGAGCUGAAUGGUCCAAGAACAGAGCUUAGUGCAGAGGAGAGCUCCCAGGUGGCUGUCAGAGAUGGGUCUUCUUAGGGUGCUCUCUUUUUUUGAACUCUUAAAAAAAUCAUUUUAAUGAUCCUCUACCAUACAAAAUUUAUUCAAAUUACAUCUAUUUGAAGUGGUAAGAUCACAGCUAGAGAACAGGUCACCCGUAUUGAAUCUAUUUACAAAAUCCAUCAUAAAAGCUUUUGUGUUGUUGGUGUUUUCUUUUUAACAUUAUAUUACAUGUUUUCUUUUGUAAACUAGUGUAGAACACAAAGCUAAACUGAUUGUAAUUUGCCUACUCCAAGUCUUGGGAGAAAUACUUCCUUUUUUACAAAAUGGCAUACCCCAUAUGAAGAAACCCCCUCACCCUGACACAUACCACCUGACCUGCUCCGUACGGCCCCUUCCUCCAGAUGCUCUGCACCCCCUCUUGGCCCUGGCAUGCAGAGUUCUUCCUUCCUCUUUCCCAAAAGCUAAAGCUUUAAACACUACAAUUCUAUUUAUAGAUCCACACAUAUGAAAACAAGAACCACAUGAAAUACAAAAACAAGGUGACAUUCUUAAAAAAACUACAAACCAGCUAGGAAAUAUUCUGGUAGGGUUUACAAAUUAAUUACUAUUUUUGUACAAAAUUGCUAAAUAAUGAAAAGGUGAGUCAAUUACAUGUCCACUUAAGUAAAGCGAUUGCUAUACAUAACUCUGUACAUAUGAACACACGCCUAACACUGUUUGACAGCUCAUGUGUUGGCUGCUGUACACUCUUAUUUUCUAAGGCUCAUGCAGUCAUAAUCCACACUUGUAACUCUUAGCCAAUUUUUUAAUUAAUUAAUUUAUUUCAAUUAGGUAUAUAUGGCAGAAGAAUGCAUUUUGAUUCAUUGUACACAAUUACAGUACAACUUUUUAUUUCUCUGGUUGUACAUGAUGUAGCAUCAUACCAUAUAUACAGUCAUACAUGUACCUAGGGUAAUGAUGUCCACUCAUUCCACCAUUUUUUUCUGCCCCCAUGCACCCUCACCACCUUCCCUCCCCUUUGCCCAAUCACAGUUCCUCCAUUUUUCUCAUGCCUCCCCUGACCCCAUUAUGGAUCAGCAUUCAUUUAUUAGAGAGAACAUUCAGCCUUUGGUUUUUUGAGAUUGGCUUACUUUGCUUAGCAUGAUAUUCUCCAACUCCAUCCGUUAACCUGCAAAUGCCAUAAUUUUAUUCUCUUUGAAUGUUGAGAAUGUUCCAUUGUGUAUGCAUACCACAGUUUCUUUAUCCAUUCAUCUAUUGAGGGGCAUCUAAUUUGCUUCCACAGUUUAGUUAUUGUGAAUUGAGCUGCUAUGAACAUUGAUGUGGCUGUAAUAGUAUGCUGAUUUUAAGUUCUUUGAGUACAGACCAAGGAGUGGGAUAGCUGGGUCAAAUGGUGUCUAUGAUAUUUUGACUUUUACUGACAUGUAUACUCAAUUAAUUUAGUAUGAUGACCAUACUAAAUUUUAUACUUAAUAGACAUGGACAUUCAUGUUUUAUUCCUUACUUAUGAAAACACAUUAUAUCUCCAAUACUUAAAUUUUUUCUCUACUAUCAAGUUGUAUUUACACAUUUUUAAAAUUUUUUUUUCGUUGUUGAUGGACUUUUAUAAUCACUUAUUUGUAAGUGGUGCUGAGAAUCUAACCCAGUGCCUCACACAUGCUAGGCAAGCAUGCUACUGCUGAGCCACAACCCCAGCCCUUGUAUUAACACAUUUUUUAGCACCAAUUGAUUUCCACAUGCUUCAUGAUGGACAAUUAUCUUUGUUAUAUCAGGUUGUAGUGGCACACCCUUUCUCCAUAGAAAAGUCUUAACUGGGCUUCUCCAGAAAUCUUCACCAUGGCUGAUUUUAGGACUGUCAGGAAAAGAGUCUCUUUAAAGGGUUUAAUGUAGGUAAACUUCCAAUUUUCGUUUUGCCCUGUUUUACUUGCCACUGGCUGGGAAGAAAUAUAGAGAAGAAGCUCUCCCCUUCUCAGGUGUUGUUCUUGAAACUUGCACAAAUAGUGAAAGAAAGGAAAAAACUGCUUUUAUGUGAACUUCUGCAGACUGUAAACUUCUGAGCCCCUCCCCUUAUAUGCUGGGUAUAAAAUUCUAAAACUACCUAAACUUGGGGUUCAGGGGAGUGAUUGAUUACAGCAGCAGCUGUGCCCUCUGAACCUGGCUGCAGCUAAAUAAAACUGUUUCAUGCUAUCUUCAGUGCCUUGCCUCAUCUGUACCUACAACAAGGUUAUACAUUUCUUUUCUUCCUUAAUUUCUACAUUCCUCUUGUAGAUGGAUUAAAGGUGUAUACAGAUAAAAGUAAACAAAGAAAAGUAAUAUCUGUUCGUAUUAAUGAUAAAUUGACUAAUUAUUAUACCCUACCUCAAAUCUCUCCACAGCAGGUUGAGUUAGCUACAAUUGUCCUGGCACUGAGACUAUUUUCUACUACUUUAAACAUUAUUACAGAUUCUCAUUCUAUAACUAAAAUUGUUCCUCG
rnacentral:lncRNA from 1 species